UGGGGAAUAUUGCACAAUGGGGGAAACCCUGAUGCAGCGACGCCGCGUGAAGGAAGAAGUAUCUCGGUAUGUAAACUUCUAUCAGCAGGGAAGAUAAUGACGGUACCUGACUAAGAAGCCCCGGCUAACUACGUG
rnacentral:rRNA from 1 species